ACGGUCAGCAUAUGCAAUUCCUCUUUUUCACAUCUCGUCUUUGAAGAGCAGCCAGAAAAGAUCUUGUGCAAGCAACAGAGUGAGAUGUGAAGACGAGGUGAGGUUUAUCAGAACUUCCUCAUUCUGCAGGUUCAGUUAUCACACAGGAAAUAAACCCCAGCACAGAAGAUUAUUCCCAGCAGUCCUCAGUGUGACAUGAGCUAUAAAAUCUGCUGCUUUAUCAUCACAUUGUAUAAAAUAUACUUUGCAGCUUAUUUAUGCUUGUGUGGUCUUAGAGAGCUGAAAGACAAGAAGAUCUGUUGAUGUGGUAUCAGUUUUAUUUGACGGUGAUCGGAGAGGCUUUGUGAAUACCUGUCCUGAUUCAAUUAAGCUUUUUAAUCAUAUACCAAAAAUGCUUAAAAUAAGUAAGGGUGAAGUCUGAAUUAUUCGUUAUGUUUGUCCUUUUAGGAGGACAUUAAAUUCAUGGUGCCUUUUAGAGGGGGCUGUGUUUAAAAUAACACUGUACCCUACACUUGAUAAUUAGUUGCACUAUGUAGCACACUAGCAUAGAAAAUUGAAUGUAGUUUCUGUAAAGAAUAACACUUUAAGGUGUGACGUAAAAGGAAAAUAAUCAGUGACGGGGUGGUGUGAUAUGUCCUGGACCAAUUCUAAUCCUUUUAUAGGGUUAUUUAAUGUUGUGAAAUAUCUAUGAAACAUGUUAGUUCCUGUUAUCACUUUUUUGCAGCUGUAAACACUCAUUUUCUCACCAGCUUCUCUUUUUUCCUCUCUUCUGAAGUUAAUAAGACAAACAAAAAUGGAGCUUGGCAUAUUGCAGAGAAAGUAGAAAAUGCAAACACCUAUGUCCUGAAUACUUUCCCUUGUUGGAAAACAUAAAGUUCCAGCUAAAUAAACAUCUCACAAAAAACUUAUGUGAUUAUGGAAACAAUAAUGUAAGAGAAGGCAUGCAUCAAUAUGAGAUUUGAUUUGAAUUACAGCUGGAACUAUUGUCAGAGCUGCUAUUAUAGAAAAUUCAACACUUCCUGAUGAGUCAGAAUUAAGACUGUAACAGCACUGAGGUAUUACUUUAUUUAACUAUCACAGCUUGUGUCUUCUGCCUUUUAUAGAAACAGUGACAGCCAAAUAAAUUUAGUUCAUGGUUACAACUGACUUUUUAAACUGUACCUAGUACAUGAUAACUUGAAGUUCAUCCAUUUUGUAAUUUUGUAUCACUAUCCAAUAGGAUGCGCCUAAAUUGAUCACGUGGUUUGGGGAGCGUUAAUGGUCAGUUUAAUUAGGUUUGUUGGAUGCUAAGUGUUUGCAGCAGUGCUAAAGAGAGUCGGCGUUUCAAUUAUGAACAUAAAAAUGGCGCUGAGAGAGGUGAAAGAGAAAAAAAAGGACAGAACAAAGCUCCAAAAGUUUGAUAUUUUUGGUAUUUCUGGUAACUCGUGUCUCUCCUCGACAGCUAGAAAUUCAGAUGAUGCAGUUUCCUGUUGUGGAGUGUUCCAGAUAUUUCACAGGGAUUAAUGUGUUCAGAAAGCGAGGGCGCCACGUCAGUGCAUCCUUCAAGCGGGAAAAUUGAGCAGAG